AAUAGAUACCCGGGUAGUCCACGCCGUAAACGAUGAAUACUAGGUGUAGGAGGUAUCGACCCCUUCUGUGCCGCAGUUAACACAAUAAGUAUUCCGCCUGGGGAGUACGAUCGCAAGAUUAAAACUCAAAGGAAUUGACGGGGGCCCGCACAAGCAGCGGAGCAUGUGGUUUAAUUCGAAGCAACGCGAAGAACCUUACCCAGACUUGACAUCCCCUGAAUUACCUGUAAUGAGGGAAGCCCUUCGGGGCAGGGAGACAGGUGGUGCAUGGUUGUCGUCAGCUCGUGUCGUGAGAUGUUGGGUUAAGUCCCGCAACGAGCGCAACCCUUAUCAUUAGUUGCUACCAUUAAGUUGAGCACUCUAGUGAGACUGCCCGGGUUAACCGGGAGGAAGGUGGGGAUGACGUCAAAUCAUCAUGCCCCUUAUGUCUAGGGCUACACACGUGCUACAGUGGUUGGUACAAUAAGAUGCAAUACCGUGAGGUGGAGCUAAACUUAUAAAACCAAUCCCAGUUCGGAUUGUAGGCUGAAACUCGCCUACA
rnacentral:rRNA from 1 species